AGGAAAGGAAAGAGGUGGGAGAAAGGAAAUGUGAUGGGGAUGGGAGUGGGAAUGAAGAUAGGAAACAGGUGAGGACCGCAAAAUCAGAAAAAAAUCUCUUUAGAGUUUUACAUCCAUCAUGCAGGUGAUGUGUUUGGAAAGAAUUCACCUUUAUUUCUAGAAAUUCCCUGAAAAUGACAACCAGAAAAUGAAGCUUGCAGAGCAGUGUCCUUAGGCAGGAGCACUUUCACCUCUCAGGAUGCUCAGCUGCACUCUCUGAAGGGAAAAAUCCCAGCUCAGUGACUGAAUUACCUGUGGCACUGCAAGGAUUUUUCUACCAGCACCCAACAGAGAGGCCCAGCUGUGUCAGAAGGUCUGGGAACAUUAUUUUCAAUUUUCUGAAAGUUUAAUCAUUGCUACCAGCACUGCCUGAACUGAUACCACUCCCAAAUUCUGCACAGAGCUGGGGCUGGAAAAUCCAGGAUUUAACAAGUUUUAACAAUAGUGAGAAACCAAAACAUCAUAAAUUACCUCCUGACAUUGCUGGUAUGGUGAAGAAAUUCCAAAAUCCAUCCAGCUGACAUUCCCUGCUAAAUGUGUGUUCAAACAGCAAGGUCAGGGCAUGGAAUCCUUGGAACACCUCAUCAUGGAAUCACUGAUUUGGUGCUGGUUUGAAUCAGGAAUCACCAAUUUAGGGCACUUCAAAGAGUCAUUUUCAAGAGUUAUUUAUAUUUAAAUGCAGUUCUUUUCAAGAGUUUCUUAUUCUUAGUUAUGGAAUUAUGAGAAUAAUGGAAUUUCUGUAAAAAUAGGAGUUCAGCUUUCUGUCCUGCCAGGCUCUGCAAGCCCAGGGAAAGUGAAUCCAUCAGCCCCACCAGGCAGCAACAGGAAAAUUCCCUCAGGUGGGAUCAGAACUCUGCCAUGAGCAGCAUUUUCUGAGAUCCUGAGCUUUAUGGAGAUUUUGCAGCAUGAAACUCAGGUAAAACAUUAACACCCAACCCUUCAGUUCAUCCUGAAGGAUCUUGGGUGCCCACCCAGAGUCUGAACCUGCUGGGAGCUCUGUUCCUGCUCCCUGAGCUUGGUUUUCAGUUCUGACAGCUGGGAAUAGAACAGAAGGAGGUGUGGAAUUGUCAGAUGAUUAUUUCUGAUCAGGCCGGGUCUGUGACUCACAAAAAGCUCCCCAGAGAGCACAGAAGAGAGGAGAUAACUUUGAUGCAGCUAAUCCAAUUAAAGGCAGGACACAGCAAUGCAGGAUACACCCCUGGCCCAUCAGGGCUCAAACCUCACAGAGCUCAGGCCUGAACACUUCAGCAAAAAAUAAAUAAGAGGCACCAAAUCUCCUGCUAAUUCCCUCUGAUACAGGGAACGGCCUUGCUGGGCCCUGCAGGGAGCAGAGAGUGUCCUGAGGCAUAAAAUUCACAAUUAUCUUCAUUUUCACAGCAGUUACCACACAGGGAAUAAGCCAACCUUUUAAAAAAGUCAUCCUUUGAAUUACAGCAAUUCUUGUUGCUUGUCUCAGGGAAUUCUGAGAGCUCAUCAUGCUCUGGGUGCUCAGCAGAGAAAGAAAAAGCUUCUGACCUAAACUACUGCCCCAAGAGGGUUUUGUCAAUUUUUAGUGGAGAAUGUCUCAAAUAAUUUUUGAAUAUCAGGUUGAACAUGAUAAUAUUCCAUAGGAAAACAGCUGAACCCUUCACUCUUGGGUAAAAAAAUGCAGCAAUAUUUCACACAAUAAGUGUUAUUGUGAAAAAAAUGGGGGGAAAAAGGGAACAAAAGCUCUGAGCACCCACCUGGAGUUUUCCUGGGUGGUUUUAUCUGCAAAAGAACAACAUUUCACAGUUUCAACUUCUCCUGGAUCUGGUCUGGAAGAUCUGCAAGGUUUUUUUUUUUCUGAGUUUGGGAAAAGCUUCUGACCUAAACUGCUGCCCCAAGAGGGUUUUGUCAAUUUUUAGUGGAGAAUGUCUAAAAUAAUUUUUGAAUAUCAGGUUGAACACAUGACCUUAGUAUUCCAUGGGAAAACAACUGAACCUUCCACUCUUGGGUAAAAAAAUGCAGCAAUAAUUCACACAAUAAGUGUUAUUGUGAAAAAAAAUGGGGAAAAAAAGGGAAACCAAAGCUCUGAGCUCCCACCUGGAGCUUUCCUGGGUGGUUUUAUCUGCAAAAUAACAACAUUUCACAGUUUAAACUUCUGGAUCUGGUCUGGAAGAUCUGCAAGUUUGGUUUUUUUUUUCUGAGUUUGGGAAAAGCUUCUGACCUAAACUGCUGCCCCAAGAGGGUUUUGUCAAUUUUUAGUGGAGAAUGUCUAAAAUAAUUUUUAAAUAUCAGGUUGAACAUGAUAAUAUUCCAUAGGAAAACAACUGAACCUUCCACUCUUGGGUAAAAAAAUUUGCAGCAAUAUUUCAGACAAUAAGUGUUACUGUGAAAAAAAAAUGUGAAAAAAGGGAACCAAAGCUCUGAGCACCCACCUGGAGCUUCCCUGGGUGGUUUUAUCUGUAAAAGAACAACAUUUCACAGUUUAAACUUCUCCUGGAUCUGGUCUGGAAGAUCUGCAAGGUUUUUUUUUUCUGAGUUUGGGAAAAGCUUCUGACCUAAACUGCUGCCCCAAGAGGGUUUUGUCAAUUUUUGUGGAGAAUGUCUAAAAUAAUUUUUGAAUAUCAAGUUGAACAUGAUAAUAUUAAUAUUCCAUAGGAAAACAACUGAACCUUUCACUUUUGGGUAAAAAAAUUUGCAGCAAUAUUUCACACAAUAAGUGUUAUUGUGAAA